rnacentral:rRNA from 1 species
UACAGAGGGUGCGAGCGUUGUCCGGAAUCACUGGGCGUAAAGGGCGCGUAGGUGGCGGCCCAAGUCCAUGGUGAAAGCUCGAUGCUCAACAUCGAGUCGGCCACGGAUACUGGGUUGCUCGAGCACUGUAGGGGCAGAUGGAAUUCCGGGUGUAGCGGUGGAAUGCGUAGAGAUCCGGAAGAACACCGGUGGCGAAGGCGGUCUGCUGGGCAGUUGCUGACACUGAGGCGCGACAGCGUGGGGAG